AUACCACCUACUACCCUGGGAAUGAAUGCAGCAGGAGGUACUUAGCUGAGGCCUCCAUUGUCCUUAUGGCAUACAUCUCUGGAGGAUGGUCCAGCCACGAUAAAUUUGCAAUACAGUAGGUCUGCUCUGGCUGGAGCACAGCAGACAUUUUCCUACAGUGCUGGGCUCUCUGAUGUGAGAUACCUGGAACAAAGACCUCCCUAAUCAAAUCAGCCUUUGCCUUUCCGGGUAAGGCCCAGCAUGUCAAUCCUGCUAAAAAGCAGAAGGAAUCCUGAAGCAGAAGGUUGUAAUAUGAUGAGGAGGAACAAAGGAAGAGGUGAGGAAAAGCAAAAUAAUCCCUGGCCUUUGUCACUGAGCUCCUUCCAACAUCCAUUAGUCAAAAAGCUAACCUAGAAUCAUUCAAGGAUAAUUUUUUUUUAAUUUGCUAAAAAAAAAAAAAAGCAUAAGAACAAACCCAAAUGAAUAUAGUGG
rnacentral:lncRNA from 1 species